GUUGUUUCAGGGAAAAAGAUACAGAUAUCGAUUUUGCUCAAGAUGCAAUUGAUGAAUAUAAGACAGGCAAUUGAAAAUGAGAAUUGAUCUUUUUUAUGGGCGAAGUGUUGAAGAUGGCUUUGGUGAAGGAAAUGUCUUGUUACUUGUUAGCAUCAAGUAAGUGGCGACAUCACAACCCCUACAAGCUUGUGCCUUAAAACAAGAGGAUACAAGAAGUUGGAGUGCUUUUGUGAAGGCUUUUGCGAAUCACUUGAAGCGUUAGUACUUUUGUGAAUGAUUUUGUAAAGUGUUUGCAAAUAUGUGCAAAACAUAAUAACAUGUGUAGGUUUUGUGAAUGA